UCUUUAGCUCACAUUUAGAGGUGACAGUUCAUCAUGAUAACCAAAGCUUGAGGCAGCUGGUCACAUUGUGAGGACAGUCCGAAAAUAGAUGGAUGAAUGUCUGUACUCAGCUCCUUGCUCCCAUUGUAUGGGAUGGUAUCACCUGCAAUUGAAAGGAGUCUGACUACUUUAGUUUACCUAAUCUAGACAAUGUUAAACAUAUGAGCCUAUGGAGAUAGACCCAGAUGCUAAGAUAUUCUGGACAAUUUCUCAUCCAUAUGCCUGAGGCUGUCUCCAAGGGGAUUCUGUAUCUUGUUAAGAUGACAAUUAAUGUUAAACAUCAUAGAAAUAGUGCACCAAGAAUGUUCCCUGCCCCUGCAACCUUGAAAGAGCAAGGAAACAGAUCUCCCCACCCUGAAUAUCAAUACUAAGAAGAAAUCCUGCCAUUAUCUUGAAUGUUGCCCAAAGAACCCCACUGCAAACUUGUAACCAGGGACACAUCAUUAUUAUUAGCUGUACUAUUAUCUCUAGCACUUAAGAUAAUAAAUUAGUGUACCAUUAAGUCAGUAAGUGGCCAUCUGUUACACAAGCCAGUGGAAACUAAUACACAAUCUCUCCAUCAUUGUCCACUACAUGCAAUAUGGUGUGACAGAAUGCAUCCAUUGUUCUAGGAAAAUGCAAACAAUACUGAGGACUUGUCUCUCUCAGGUUUCUCCUAUACUAUAAAAUUCCAUCUGAUAUGCUUAACAGUUGUAUUUCUGAACAACUGAGAUUUAUUUAUGAAUAUGUGGAAUAAUAUGAGACCUUUCAUUUGGCACUCGGAGUUGUAACAAAGAAAAAUUACUUCCCCGAUAGAUCGAUAGGCUUGAUGAGUCUAUUUGUUUUGCCAUCAGCCCCAUUACCUUCCUGUUCCCCAGCAGUCUACUUGCAGCAUCGAUUAUUGAUGAUACCUCCGCUGCUGCUUUCCUUGCAGUGGCUGCUUCCUUUAGCUGCAUGCUCUGUUGCCUCCUGCAGUUUUAUUGGCAAAAACCAUACAACCCACCUGGGACUGGACCUGGCACAGUGCUCACAGGCUGAGACUUGCCACCUAAAGGCUCUUAUUUGCUUAUUCUUGGCAGAAUUCAACUCUGCCUCAUGCUCUUUAGUUUACAGAGGGUCUUAUUUCAUUUAAGCCCCCCCAAAUUAAAGAGGUAUUAUUGCUUUUAUAUUACACUUGGGGAAACUGAAGAUUGAGGAAAGUUUACAACAGAAAAUGACAGAAAGGUUUGAAUGAAAAUGUCUUAAUUACUUAUUGAGAUUAUAAAAUUAAUGAAAAAUUUACAACAUCACAGCUGUUGGCCAUUUUAUCUCAGUGUCGGGAAUCCAGAUGCACGUUUUGAAAGUGUAUUUUUAAUGAAAAAAAAUAGCAGAUGCACAGGACCUGGAGAGAUAGCUCUGUUAGUGAUGUGCCUGCUGCACAAGCAUGAAAGCUUCAGUUCAGACCCCAGGACCCGCAUAAAAGCUAAUGUGAUCGUUUCCCAUGCCUAUCAUUCCAGUGCUAGGGUGUGAAGACAAGAGGAUCCUUGUAGUUUGCAAAUCUGUCUGAACCGUCAAACUCCCAUUUCAGAGAGAGACUCUGGCAUUUAGAUAGAUAGAUAGACAGACAGAUAUACAGACAGACAGAUUGAUAAGGUAGGGAAUGCUAGAAGAAGACAUUCAAUGUCAACAUCUGGCCUUCCAUGCACAUGCAAGGGCACGUGCUCCACACGUGUACACAGAUAGGCCUGUACCAUAAAAAUUCAAAUUCACAUAAAUUUACAGGUAUGUAUUACAAAAAGAUUUGGAAAAUGCAGAAAAGUUUAAAAACAUCUCCUUUAAUCUUGUUGCUCAAAAGCAGCCACAAUAUUUUUGUCCAAAGAUUUUUAUCAGUACAGUCAUACGAGCAUAUACUUGAAAUGAUAUUUUUUAUUUAUAGCUUUGUGUUUCAUGCCUCUUUAUUACCUAGAGGAAAGUAAGGUGCUAUUCCGCCCUCAUUGUAUUUAAAUUUUAUUAUAUUACUUGUCAGUGACCUAUGUUUUCUGCAUUCAAGUACAAAUGAAAAAUCAGGCCUUAUUGCCUGAGUUCUGAUUGUCUUAAGAUUAGAUCCAGGCUUCUCAGAAUGCAGUCUGAAGACCUGCAGUGCUAGCUCACUUUGCAGCCUCUUACAGCUGCAAAUUCUCUGCCUAGUUAAGCUCCUUACAGUGAUGUCAGAGCCCCCAUUGCAAUCAACUCUCCAUGGUUCUCACUCAUGCAACAGUUUGAAAAGGACUUGGCUUCAGUGUGCAUCCAGGAGUCAAGAGUACCCUGUUUUAGGCUAAUUAUUAGACUGGAAAAUAAAAAACAAAAACAAAAACAGAAAGGCUUUUUUGUUAUGAGAAUUUCAGAGGCAUCAACAUUUAUUCCUAGAAAACUGAUUGAGCAAAGGUUCAAAUGCCUGUAUCCUUACAUAGAAAUAUGAUAAGAAGAUUUUUGCACGUUAUGUACUGAUGCUUAAAUAUUCAUACACUUCUGAUUAGCCACCUAAUACUCCAUC
rnacentral:lncRNA from 1 species